UACGAAGGGGGCGAGCGUUGUUCGGAAUCACUGGGCGUAAAGCGUGCGUAGGCUGUUCUACAAGUUGGAAGUGAAAUGCCAGGGCUUAACCCUGGAACUGCUUUCAAAACUGUAGAACUAGAAUUCGGGAGAGGAUAGCGGAAUUUCCAGUGUAGUAGUGAAAUACGUAGAUAUUGGAAGGAACACCAGUGGCGUAAGCGGCUUUCUGGACAAAUACCGACGCUGAGGCACGAAAGCUAGGGGAGCAAACAGG
rnacentral:rRNA from 1 species